rnacentral:rRNA from 1 species
AAGUCCUACGGGGCGCAGCAGUGGGGAAUAUUGGGCAAUGGGCGCAAGCCUGACCCGGCAACGCCGCGUGAAGGAAGAAGGCUUUCGGGUUGUAAACUUCUUUUCUCAGGGACGAAGCAAGUGACGGUACCUGAGGAAUAAGCCACGGCUAACUACGUGCCAGCAGCCGCGGUAAUACGUAGGUGGCAAGCGUUAUCCGGAAUUACUGGGUGUAAAGGGCGUGUAGGCGGGUUUGCAAGUCAGAUGUGAAAAUUAUGGGCUCAACCCAUAACCUGCGUCUGAAACUACAGAUCUUGAGAGUGGGG